CAAUGAUCCAAAGACAAACGCUUCCGUUGUAGUUCACUGCAACAGAGCUGGCCUGUCUCCAAACGCUUCGGUGGCAUACAGUAAUCCUAGAGACUUCGGUGGUCAUGGAACGGCCACAGGUUCUAUUGCCGCUGGUAUGGCAGUGGCCAACGCGAGUAUGGGGGGACUGGCUUCAGGAAUUGCAAGAGGUGGUUUUCGCAGUGCCAGGAUUUCUGCGUAGAAAGUGUGUUGGAUGUUCCAGUGCUACGACAUCAACAUUGUAACGGCUUUAGACGACACAAUUCACGACGGUGUGGACGUGAUCUCGCUCUCACUUGGAGACGUGACUCUGCCGUAUAACAUCGACAUUAUCGCGAUUGGUGCCUUCCAUGCACUGGAGAAAGACGUUAUAGUCUGGAGAAAGACAUUAUAGUCUCGAGUACUUCUGGAAACUCUGGGCCGCUCAACGGAACAGUGACGAAUGUAGCUCCUUGGAUACUUACUGUUGGUGCUAGCUCAAUCGAUCGAAACAUCACACCGAACUCAACUGUGUUUCCUAUAAAGCCCGCACCAGUUGCUGCAGGUUCCUCUUCAAGAGGACCCAGCUUUAUCAGUCCCGACAUU